UGGGGAAUAUUGCACAAUGGGGGAAACCCUGAUGCAGCAACGCCGCGUGAGGGAAGAAGGUUUUCGGAUCGUAAACUUCUAUCAACAGGGACGAAACAAAUGACGGUACCUGAAUAAGAAGCCCCGGCUAACUACGUGCCAGCAGCCGCGGUAAUACGUAGGGGGCAAGCGUCAUCCGGAAUUACUGGGUGUAAAGGGAGCGUAGGCGGCACGUCAAGCCAGAUGUGAAAGCCCGGGGCUUAACCCCGUGGAUUGCAUUUGGAACUGGCGAGCUAGAGUACAGGAGAGGAAAGCGGAAUUCCUAGUGUAGCGGUGAAAUGCGUAGAUAUUAGGAAGAACACCAGUGGCGAAGGCGGCUUUCUGGACUGAAACUGACGCUGAGGCUCGAAAGCGUGGGGAGCAAACAGGAUUAGAUACCC
rnacentral:rRNA from 1 species